AUGAAUAUUAUUGUUUAUGAUGAUGUGGCAGCAUGGGUGAGGGUUGAAGGUUCAGAUUCAGUUAUGAUAAGAGCGAGACUGGAAGCAGAACAUGAUACAUACAACUGUAUUGGAACAGUUUCUGCCAAGAGUGGAUGUUCUUUUCUUAAGGGUGGUUUUGUUCUUAACUCAUCUUCAAAUUCAUCUACCAUAAUCUUUCAGAAUGCGGAUGGCAAAGAUUUUGAUAUGGAUGUAGCAAGUCUAUCACUACAGCCAUUUACUAAGCAGGAACCAAGAAUAUAUGAUCAACACUCUGCAGGUCUGAACCAGGAGU